rnacentral:rRNA from 1 species
GACGAACGCUGGCGGCGUGCUUAACACAUGCAAGUCGAGCGGUAAGGCCCUUUCGGGGGUACACGAGCGGCGAACGGGUGAGUAACACGUGGGUGACCUGCCCUCAGCUCUGGGAUAAGCCUGGGAAACCGGGUCUAAUACCAGAUAUGACUCCAUGACGCAUGUUGUGGGGUGGAAAGCGUUGUGCGGCUGAGGAUGGGCCCGCGGCCUAUCAGCUUGUUGGUGGGGUGANGGCCUACCAAGGCGACGACGGGUAGCCGGCCUGAGAGGGCGACCGGCCACACUGGGACUGAGACACGGCCCAGACUCCUACGGGAGGCAGCAGUGGGGAAUCUUGCGCAAUGGGCGAAAGCCUGACGCAGCGACGCCGCGUGAGGGAUGACGGCCU